rnacentral:rRNA from 1 species
GAUGAACGCUGGCGGCGUGCCUAAUACAUGCAAGUCGAGCGAACAGACGAGGAGCUUGCUCCUCUGACGUUAGCGGCGGACGGGUGAGUAACACGUGGAUAACCUACCUAUAAGACUGGGAUAACUUCGGGAAACCGGAGCUAAUACCGGAUAAUAUAUUGAACCGCAUGGUUCAAUAGUGAAAGUCGGUUUUGCUGUCACUUAUAGAUGGAUCCGCGCCGCAUUAGCUAGUUGGUAAGGUAACGGCUUACCAAUGCAACGAUGCGUAGCCGACCUGAGAGGGUGAUACGCCACACUGUAACUGAGACACGUUCCAGACUCCUACGGGAGGCAGCAGUAGGGAAUCUUCCGCAAUGGGCGAAAGCCUGACGGAGCAACGCCGCGUGAGUGAUGAUGGUCUUCGGAUCGUAAAACUCUGUUAUUAGGGAAGAACAAAUGUGUAAGUAACUAUGCACGUCUUAACGGUACCUAAUCAGAAAGCCACGGCUAACUACGUG